GCGCGAAAACUUUACAAUGCUGGCAACAGCGAUAAGGGAACCUCGAGUGCCAGGUUACAAAUCUGGCUGUCGAGAUGCCUAAAAAGCAUUUCAUAGCAAGGGCCGGGCAAGACCGGUGCCAGCCGCCGCGGUAACACCGGCGGCUCGAGUGGUAACCGUUAUUAUUGGGUCUAAAGGGUCUGUAGCCGGCCGGAUAAGUCUCUUGAGAAAUCUGGCAGCUUAACUGUCAGGCUUUCAGGAGAUACUGUCUGGCUCGAGGCCGGGAGAGGUGAGAGGUACUUCAGGGGUAGGGGUGAAAUCUUGUAAUCCUUGAAGGACCACCAGUGGCGAAGGCGUCUCACCAGAACGGACCUGACGGCAAGGGACGAAAGCUAGGGGCACGAACCGGAUUAGAUACCCGGGUAGUCCUAGCCGUAAACGAUACUCGCUAGGUGUCGGCCACGGUGCGACCGUUGUCGGUGCCGUAGGGAAGCCGUGAAGCGAG
rnacentral:rRNA from 1 species